rnacentral:rRNA from 1 species
CCUACGGGAGGCAGCAGUGGGGAAUCUUGCGCAAUGGGCGAAAGCCUGACGCAGCAACGCCGCGUGCGGGAAGAAGGCUUUCGGGCUGUAAACCGCUUUCAGCAGGAACGAAAAUGACGGUACCUGCAGAAGAAGGAGCGGCCAACUAUGUGCCAGCAGCCGCGGUGAUACAUAGGCUUCAAGCGUUGUCCGGAUUUAUUGGGCGUAAAGAGUUCGUAGGCGGUCGAGUAAGUCGGGUGUGAAAAUUCUGGGCUCAACCCAGAGACGCCACCCGAUACUGCUUGACUUGAGUUCGAUAGGGGAGUGGGGAAUUCCUAGUGUAGCGGUGAAAUGCGCAGAUAUUAGGAGGAACACCGGUGGCGAAGGCGCCACUCUGGAUCGAUACUGACGCUGAGGAACGAAAGCAUGGGUAGCAAACAGGAUUAGAUACCCUGGUAGUCCAUGCCGUAAACGGUGGGCACUAGGUGUGGGUUUCUAUUAACGAAAUCCGCGCCGUCGCUAACGCAUUAAGUGCCCCGCCUGGGGAGUACGGUCGCAAGCUAAAACUCAAAGGAUUGACGG